rnacentral:rRNA from 1 species
CUUUCGGAUGCGUUGAUAAUGCAGGUUAGCAUACUUCCGAGAAAACUCACUAAGGCUAGGUGUAUAGAAUCCGUACCGGAAACCGACACAGGUGGUCAAGUAGAGUAUACUAAGGCGCUCGGGUGAGCCGUGGUUAAGGAAUUAGGCAAAUUAGUCCUGUAACUUCGGGAGAAAGGACACCCUCAGCAAUGAGGGUCGCAGAGAAUAGGUCUAGGCGACUGUUUAACAAAAACACAGGGCUAUGCAAAAUCGCAAGAUGAAGUAUAUGGCCUGACACCUGCCCGGUGCUGGAAGGUUAAAGAAGGGGGUCAGCAGCAAUGCGAAGCUCUCGACUGAAGCCCCAGUAAACGGCGGCCGUAACAAUAACGGUCCUAAGGUAGCGAAAUUCCUUGUCGGGUAAGUUCCGACCUGCACGGAUGGUGUAACGAUCUAGACGCUGUCUCAACCACGAGCCCGGUGAAAUUGAAGUAUCGGUGAAGAUGCCGAUUACUCGCCACGGGACGGAAAGACCCCGUGCACCUUCACUACAGCUUUGCAUUGACUUCGGGUAUUAAAUGUGUAGGAUAGGUGGGAGACUAUGAAGCGGUUCCGCUAGGGAUUGUGGAGUCAACGUUGAAAUACCACCCUUUUACUACUUGGAGUCUAACCUGUUUUAAACGGAGACAUUGCAUGGCGGGUAGUUUGACUGGGGUGGUCGCCUCCAAAAGAGUAACGGAGGCUUUCAAAGGUACCCUCAGUACGCUUGGUAACCGUACGUAGCGUGUAAAGGCAUAAGGGUGCUUGACUGUAAGACCGACAGGUCAAACAGGUACGAAAGUAGGACUUAGUGAUCCGGUGGUUCUGUAUGGAAGGGCCAUCGCUCAUAGGAUAAAAGGUACGCCGGGGAUAACAGGCUGAUUUCUCCCAAGAGCUCAUAUCGACGGGGAAGUUUGGCACCUCGAUGUCGGCUCGUCACAUCCUGGGGCUGGAGAAGGUCCCAAGGGUUGGGCUGUUCGCCCAUUAAAGUGGCACGCGAGCUGGGUUCAGAACGUCGCAAGACAGUUCGGUCCCUAUCUGUGGUGAGCGUUAGAGAAUUGAGAAGAUCUGCAUCUAGUACGAGAGGACCGAUGUGGACUAGCCUCUGGUGUAUCAGUUGUACCGCCAGGUGCACUGCUGAGUAGCUAAGCUGGGAAGGGAUAAGCGCUGAAAGCAUCUAAGCACGAAACCCACUUCAAGAUGAGUUCUCUUUAUAAGGAUCGUCGAAGACUACGACGUUGAUAGGCUAUAGGUGUAAGCAUAGUAAUAUGUUCAGCCAAGUAGUACUAAUUGUCCGUAAACUUUCU